UCAGCCGCACUGCAAGAUGACGGCAGGCAGAAUGUGGUGCUGGGUAAAAUGUAAGUGUUGGCAUCCGCGACGGACACUUUUGGGUCGACCCGAUCCGGUCCCAAUAAUCCCAAAAGCUGAAAAAUGGUGAUCAGGUUGCCCCGUUGCUCCUCGUGGUUAUCGCUGAAUGAUCCCGGAGGUAGAAUUUCGGACGGAUCAACGGCCGUCGGUUUAAAAGCGACGAUGCAAUAUUGUCCAUCAAAACCAGGUGCCCGAACGGCCAGA